rnacentral:lncRNA from 1 species
CUCCAGCGGCACAAUGUGAUUCACUGGCAAGGAAGGUCGCCAAUAAGGCAUCCGAUAAGAGAUUUGUGUGUACUUGCUUCUCCCUUCUAGAAACUUAGCUUCCUGAAGGGCAGGAACAAUGGCUGAACUGACAUCCUCACCCACCUAGUGGCACAGUCACACCCACAGCAUUGCUGCAAGGAUGGCCCAAUCAAGUCACAUGACUAAACAGCAUUCUACCUGCAAAACACAAAUACCUAACACCAUAUGCAGUUGACUGUAUCAGAAGCCCUAAGGGUGAGCCACCUGUAUUUGCAGUAGACCUCCAAGAAUUUUAAAACUUCAGCUCUGGAAUGUUUAGUGAUGAAGACAUGAACUGCACCCAUUCAGCUGAGGCUGCUGGACCAAUGAGUUUGGAAGUUUGGAUUCAGGUUCUGACCCUAACACUCACUAAGAACCCAUAAGCCUCCAUUUUCUCUUCACUUAAUGGACAUUGCAAUAAACACACACACUGGACUUUUCCUUCCUAAGGGAUUACAAGGCCUCCAAAGAUGACUAUCAGGAGUUAAAAGAUGAACACAACAAUACCUAAGCCUCACAUGGAGUUCCAGGAAUCCAUGCUGCCAAUAGUUGGCAUAUUGUUGCCAAACAAUUCUCUUAUUUCCCAGAAAAUGGUCAAAGUUUCUUCUUUGCUUGUUUGGGUUUUGUUGAUGUUGUUUUGUCUUUGCAGUUCCGAUCAUUUUAUCUUGGUCCUUUAAAAAAAAUUCAUAUGGUAUAUGAAGUAGUUAGUUAAAAUGUAGAUUCUGAAUCUUAGGUUAAAGGUAAGGACUGAGAUUGUUCAUCUAACAGGCAUAGUCACUGGUGGUGGUGUUGGCUUGUGAACCACUCUCUGAGCCAUAUGAAUCUAACCAGCAUGGUCAUUGCCCAGUUUCUACAUGAUAAGCCCCUAAUGUUUAGUUUUCAUUCUAUAACGUCCACAAAGACUCUGCAGACAGUUUGAAGAGUCUGGAAAACAUUGAGGGUUCUUAAGGGACACAAUACAAAAUAGCCUAUGUUCCAUGACAGAUGUCAGGUGGGGGUGGUUUGGGAAGAAAAUGAUCAGCCAGAGAGUUGUGGAGAUCACCAUCUUCAGAUGAUAGUCACUGAUUCAGAAAACAAUGAAGCAGCAGCAGGUAGGGGGAGGAUGGAUGCACAAUGGGACCUUGGUGCACUGCCUUCAGCUGUUCGUACAUCAAACUGAUACAUCCAAGUAUCCAUUUAGAUGCUCCAGCCUAGAUUUCAGCAAGUUCUGUGGGCAGCAGUGUGCAUGUAAGGCCCGUAUACAUCUGUCCAACAUAAACCUCUGUAGUCUUCUUUCUCUUAUAUUCAUCUUUCCCUAUUAUGAACCAUUCUGGUGGUUCUGUGGGGCUAGAGUCUGGAGGGGAAUUUAAAUAUCUCCUCACUGGAAAAUAAGUCAAGAUUUUGGAAGCAAUUGACUCUACAUAUAAACCUCAGCUCUGCCACCCACUGGCUGCAUGACCUCAAGCUUGUUGACUCACUUCUCUUGCCUUGUUUGUUACCUGUAAAAUAAGAACAAUAAUAUCUCUCCAGAUGGAGAGAAGGGACUCCAUUUAAUGUGUGUAUGCCUCUGAUGUACUUCCAUUACAUACCAUUGGUAUCCUGGACAUGCGUGUUCUCUUCCGCCUUCCACCGUCAUUGCUAUCUCAAGGCCAAGAAUUAAAUGUUUAAAUGGCAUCCAGUUUCAAUCUCUGACCUAUGCAUGCAUAUUCAUCCAUAUGUGUAUGCAUCCACACACAUGUAAACACGCAGACACAAUAUACAUGCAAAAGGAACCAUGCAUUUUUCUUCACUUUUCUCGUGACAUCUGAAUUUCUUCCUAGUUGAGUUAAACAUUCCUUCAAGUCUUCUGUUUAAUUCAGCUUCUCUCAAAAGUCAAAGUGCAUGGGCUACAGAUAAAUCCAAAUCGCUUCUGCAUUUACCAG